rnacentral:rRNA from 1 species
UUCUUGAUGGUAGUGUAUUGGACUACCAUGGCUUUCACGGGUAACGGAGGAUUAGGGUUCGAUUCCGGAGAGGGAGCRUGAGAAACGGCUACCACAUCCACGGAAGGCAGCAGGCGCGUAAAUUACCCAAUCCUGACUCAGGGAGGUAGUGACAAGAAAUAACGGACCGAGCCUUUUGGCUUCGGGAUUGCAAUGAGCCGAAUUUAGACCCCUUAGCGAGUAACAAUUGGAGGGCAAGUCUGGUGCCAGCAGCCGCGGUAAUUCCAGCUCCAAUAGCGUAUAUUAAAGUUGUUGCAGUUAAAAAGCUCGUAGUUGGAUUUCUGUGAGAGUGUCUGCCUCGGCUCUGACGCUCGUGGGCAGCGCUCUUACAUCCUUCUGUUAACUGUUCUUGGCUUUCAUUUGCUGGUUCAGGGCUCAGAUAUUUUACCUUGAGAAAAUUAGAGUGUUUCAGGCAGGCUUAUGCACGGAAUACAUUAGCAUGGAAUAAUGGAAUAGGACCUGUGCGUCUCUCGAGGCGCCGGUCUCUGUUGUUGGUUUCGGGGACUAAAGUAAUGAUUAAUAGGGAUAGUUGGGGGCAUUAGUAUUUAAUAGUCAGAGGUGAAAUUCUCGGAUUUGUUAAAGACUAACUUAUGCGAAAGCAUUUGCCAAGGAUGUUUUCAUUAAUCAAGAACGAAAGUUAGGGGAUCAAAGACGAUCAGAUACCGUC